GCCUGGGUGGCACAGUGGUUGAGCAUCUGCCUUCGGCUCAGGGCAUGGUCCCAGCAUUGUGGGAUCGAACCCCACAUCAGGCU
rnacentral:tRNA from 1 species